CCCGGCUGGUAAUCAACUCCUGUGUGGAUUUAAUAUCUGUCUCUGGUUGGUUCUUUCUCACUGGGUGCAACAUUCUUGGAGGCCCCAGCAAGAUAGCCAGCUGCUCUGGAGCUUAUUAUCUUGGAGCCAUUGUUUCUUUUUAGGAGAGACCAGGAUCCAACAUCAGCAGUGUUUGGCCUCUCUGGACACUGGUCUGUGGAAGGAGAGGCCACCCUGAUGGUAUUCCAGGGCUCCAGGUAGGCUGGUCCCAGUUGGGCCCUAUUGCUGAUCAACCAACCUGCAGGAGUUUAUUGGGAAAGCCUCUAGAGGUAAGAAUCAAAUGAUUCUUAAUGCACUGUGGGUAGGUAGGAGGAAGCCGGACAUGGCACAGGUUCCCCUACCUAGAGUCUCUUCACAAAGGCAAGCAGACUCAACUGGGUCAGAGUCCUCAGAAGAGCAACUCCCUCGGUGGGGUCCAAAUCCAUUCAGCCCCAGAGGUUUUACUUGGCCAAAGUUUGUCUUUGUCUGUUUAUUGUUGUCUGUCUGCUUGCUCUGUGUGCCUUUUGCAUUUUCACAGGCUAAAAUUAUGGUUUCCUCACAGUCCAUGGAGGGAACUCCACUUGAUUGUGUUUUGAAUAACUUCAAAAAAAUUUAUUCCAUAGACAGGGAAGAUGAAUAUGGCAUGAAAUUUUCUAAAGGCAAAUUAAAAACCCUGUGUCAAUUAAAAUGGCCCAGUUUUGGAGUCAGUUGGCCCCCGGUGGGGACUUAAUUCUGUGCACAUUGCUCACAAGGUUUGGAAUGUGGUCACGGGAGUCAGGGCCCCACAGGUCCUGAUCGACCUUUGGCACUCAAUCAGGACAGGACUAUGGUCCAUCAGCCCCAUCUUCCUCCUCCCUUUUUCCUUUAAAACAGAGCCCAGGGGAGGAUUGAUUUAUGUCCCUUUUACAACUAGUGAUCUUUACAAUUGGAAACAUCAAAAUCCCCCCCCUUCUCUGAAAAACCUCAGGCAUUAAUCCCUUCUUGAGUCUGUUUUUCAUACCCAUCAACCAACCUGGGAUGAUUGCCAGCAGCUUUUACAGAUCCUGUUCACCAUUGAGGAGCGAGACCGCAUUUAUCAACAGACAGUCAAAGAGGCCCUGGGGCCAAACCUCGGCAUCACUCCCAGAACUCCAGAGCAUUCAGCCAAGGCUGAAACAGUAGUUCUGUCAUGAUACCUCGAAUGGGACCCCAAUGAUGAUGACAGUAAAGGGAGGCUGGGGAACUACUGCCAGCACUUAUUAGGGGGACUCCAGGAAGUGGCCAGAAAGUCCACUAAUUUCAGUAAGUCUCUUCAAGCCAUACAGAUUCUUCAGAGUGAGAUCCAGGCUACAAUACAACAGGCUCGAGAAAAACCCUUUGCGAAGUUCCAGCCCCACAGUUUCAAGCCAGGAGACCUGGUCCUGAUAUGCUUGGUUUGCUUGCACUGAGGACUUGACUAAAUACAUUCCCAAAUCAGUCUUGGCUACCCAAUCUGCCACUUUAUUUUGUGUCACCAUAUAUGUUGUUCCACAAGUGUUGUAUUGUAAUAAAAAAGGUGGCCAUGAACAUCUGGGAUUAACCACAGAACACUAUAGGAGUAAACAGGCUGCCCCCAUUUUAGUGCCCAUUCUGGUGGGAUUAGGAAUAGCCAGGUCAGCGGCUAUUGGAACUUCCUCCCUGAUCCUUCAGGACACAAAUUUUAAAGCCCUAAGCCACCAAGUAGCCAGAGAUUUGGGUCACCUGAAAAACUCGAUCUUCAGAUUAAAAAAAAACAGGUUGAUUCUCUAGCUGAGAUGGUCCUGCAAAAUCUAAGGGGACUUGACCUCCUGUUCAUAAAACAAGGAGGGUUAUAUGUAGCCCUAGAAAAAAACCCUGUUGCUUCUAUGCUAAUGGUUAACUACCCUAGUUUCUGCUGUAACAGGCCCCCUAGUUAUCUUACUUCUGCUUUUGCUCAUGAGACCUUGCAUUAUAAAUGCUCUGACUAAAUAUGUUAGACAGAGGGUUGGUGCAGUUAAACUGAUGGUGUUGAGACAAAAUUAUGAGAUUUUAAAAGACGUUUUAAAAAAAAUUCAGAGUAAAUAUAGGAAUCAAAGAUUUGAUUAAGUUACAAGAACCAGUGGGGAAUGAAGGACCUUAGUUAGCAAGACAGACUCCAUAUUGCUGCUUGACCCACCUGCCUGCCCUUUAGAUGAACUCAGAAGGAGGAAGCUUAAAAACCUCCUCCCCUUGGAAAGUCUCUUUAGAAAUAACAAUUAAUCAACUAUUGUUUUACAAAUGUUCGAACAGCAGGAUGUUCUGCUACUGUACCUUUUGCUUACCUUUUACUUCUAUCCCAUAGGGGG
rnacentral:lncRNA from 1 species